GCUAUGACAUAUUCCAGGAGUGCAGAGAGCGAAAAUCCUUUCCACACCAUGCGCGUCAUCCAUUCGCCAGUGUUAUGGCUUCUAUUAGCUGGAGUCAUACUUGUAGUUGUUGAAGCUCAAGGGGAGUGUAUAAAAUACCUCAGUAGCGCAGAGGGAUUAUUUAAGAAGCCAUUCUAUAUGAAGUCCCAUUAUCAAAAUUCUAUAAUCAGGAAUGUGACAUUGAUUGAGCGUCAUUCAUAUUACAAGUGUGAACCCGCUAAAGAAAAGUAUGGAAUCGGUCCUGACGGAACCGAAUGGUGGGUGUUCAGGGGUUGUGGCGGAGUGUUUGACAUUGAGGAAUGCUCUCAGGGAACCCCACUAGAAAUCAAAAUCAAAGAAGACAUACCCAUUAAACAGAGAGAGAUGGAGACGAAAACCAUGCAGGAAUUCGGAGUUACUCAGAAAUCAUCUCAGAAUCGUAAAAAGACUGUGAAUCAACACCCGUAAUGUUUUCACCUUUAACGAAUCAUGGUUCGCUAUGAAUCCCAGUCCUGACUCAUGAGGGAGAUCACCGCCUUCUGAUUUUUCGUGACGGAGAUUAAAAGUAUUUUAAAGAAUUUAUAUCAAAAUCUGAUAAUAAAGGGAAAGGUCUUUAGUGCU
rnacentral:misc_RNA from 1 species